rnacentral:hammerhead_ribozyme from 1 species
AUCCAGUUGACGAUUCCUUAAUAGGACGAAACGCGCGUCGAACUGGAU